rnacentral:rRNA from 1 species
AGAGUUUGAUCCUGGCUCAGGACGAACGCUGGCGGCGCGCUUAACACAUGCAAGUCGAGCGAGAACCAGGCCUUCGGGCCUGGGGACAGCGGCGAACGGGUGAGUAACACGUGGGUAAUCUACCCUCGAUUCUGGGAUAGCCCGGGGAAACCCGGAUUAAUACCGGAUAGCCUCACAAGCUUUCGGGCAGGGUGAGAAAAGGUAGCUUCGGCCUCCGAUCGAGGAUGAGCCCGCGGCGGAUUAGCUUGUUGGUGGGGUAAUGGCCUACCAAGGCGACGAUCCGUAGCUGGUCUGAGAGGACGAUCAGCCACACUGGGACUGAGACACGGCCCAGACUCCUACGGGAGGCAGCAGUGGGGAAUCUUGCGCAAUGGGCGAAAGCCUGACGCAGCGACGCCGCGUGGGGGAAGAAGGCCUUCGGGUUGUAAACCUCUUUCAGCAGGGACGAAGCCACUCGGGUGAAUAGCCCAGAGGGUGACGGUACCUGCAGAAGAAGCCCCGGCUAACUACGUGCCAGCAGCCGCGGUAAUACGUAGGGGGCAAGCGUUGUCCGGAUUUAUUGGGCGUAAAGAGCGUGUAGGCGGCCGCACAGGUCCGUUGUGAAAACUGGAGGCUUAACCUUCAGACGUCGAUGGAAACCGUGCGGCUAGAGUCCGGAAGAGGAGAAUGGAAUUCCUGGUGUAGCGGUGAAAUGCGCAGAUAUCAGGAAGAACACCCGUGGCUAAGGCGGUUCUCUAGUACGGUACUGACGCUGAGACGCGAAAGCGUGGGGAGCGAACAGGAUUAGAUACCCCAGUAGUCC